AUGAAACAGAAAUGGAACUAAAACUUUGGAAAUAAUGUAAAUUUAAUGGCUUUUGCGGUUUCUUUUCUCCUUUUCCUGGUUUUGUCGUUGAUACCAUUGGAAAUUUCGGAGGGCACCCAUAAUCACUCUCUUCAACUCCAUAAUAGUGAGAAUUUCUAACUUGAUAAUUCAUGUUACAUUGGAAUAAACAAUACUUCACUUGAGAUUUUCAAUUUGUUUUCUGGGUGUUAGCUGUCAUCAGUACUGUUGUAUUGCAAUAUCAAAUAAGGUAUCAACCAAGCCACUGUUGAGCACGACGAUCCCCACNUGCCACCAACAGAAUGCCGAAUACUGAUUUUUUCACUUGCAUAUUUUUGUUGAAGCCAUUCAAAAGCAGUCACAUCAAGUUUCCCAUUUACUGAUUUCCCUUGCUUUCUACGAGUAUGCUGUUCCCGUAUAGAGGACCAAAGUUUCUCUAUUGCAUCCCUUUGUCGAGAUGUGAACCUUGCAACAUUAUCUAAGGCAUGCUUUACCAAAAUGUCUAUCACUGUCUGGCACCAUGGAGUUUUGUAACGGCGUGCAGCAAUCUCUAAACAAAUAAUCAAGGAUUCUCUCUGACCUUUGAGGAAGCUCUUAUUCCCUUCCUCCUCCUCCUUGCGCAUCUUGGCUAAUGUAUUUUUCUUUCCUUUUACCCUUUCAUCUUUCUUUGCGUUACUCAUAAAAGCAUUGAGCCCAAAUGGAUCAGACUCAUCCAUCUUAUUUUCUUCAGCUGAAGUACCUGAACAUAAAUCCUGCUUGUUUUCAUUGUCUUCAUUAGUUGUUCCUUUAUCAUCCUUUAGGGCUUCAGCUUCUUCCAUGUCAUCAUCCUCAGAUGCAACUGGAAGACUAC
rnacentral:misc_RNA from 1 species